rnacentral:rRNA from 1 species
CUACGGGGGGCAGCAGUCGAGAAUCUUUCACAAUGGACGAAGGUCUGAUGAUGCGACGCCGCGUGGGGGAUGAAGGCCUUCGGGUCGUAAACCCCUUUUGUAAAAGAUGAAUUCCCGGCCUUUGAAUAAAGGGACGGGAUUGACAUUAUUUUACAAAUAAGCCACGGCUAACUCCGUGCCAGCAGCCGCGGUAAUACGGAGGUGGCGAGCGUUAUCGGUUUGACUGGGUGUAAAGGGUCCGCAGGCGGUUAAAUUAGUGAAAGGUGAAAUCUUUUAGCUCAACUAAAAAAUUGCUUUUCAUACUGUUUAACUAGAGGAUAGGAGAGGAGAGCGGAACUGACGGUGUAAGGGUGAAAUCUGUGGAUAUCGUCAGGAACGUCCGUGGCGAAGGCGGCUCUCUGGUCUAUACCUGACGCUCAGGGACGAAAGCUAGGGGAGCAAACAGGAUUAGAUACCCCCGUAGUC